GCAACUUGUGGUGAGAUUAUUGUGAUGUGUGAGGAGAAACAAACUCCUCCAGUUACACAUAUAACAUAUUUCAUAGAGGAAAAAACAGAACCUCCAGUCACAGAGAUGAACUU